UACGAAGGGGGCAAGCGUUGUUCGGAUUUACUGGUCGUAAAGGGCGCGUAGGCGGCGCGUAAAGUCGGAAAUGAAAUCAUUAGGCUCAACCUAAUGGCUGUGUCCGAUACUUACGUGCUUGGAGUGCGGGAGAGGCAGCCGGAAUUCUCGGUGUAGCGGUGAAAUGCGUAGAUAUCGAGAGGAACACCGGUGACGAAGGUGGGUUGCUGGACCGACACUGACGCUGAGGCGCGAAAGCUAGGGGAGCAAACUGG
rnacentral:rRNA from 1 species